rnacentral:rRNA from 1 species
CAUGGCUGUCGUCAGCUCGUGUCGUGAGAUGUUGGGNUAAGUCCCGCAACGAGCGCAACCCUUAUUUUUAGUUGCCUUUANNACUCUAGNNAGACUGCUGGUUAUAAACCGGAGGAAGGCGGGGAUGACGUCAAGUCANNAUGCCCCUUACACCCUGGGCUACACACGUGCUACAAUGGGUGAGACAAUGAGAUGCAAAUCCGCGAGGACAAGCUAAUCUAUAAACUCAUUCUAAGUUCGGAUUGUAGGCUGCAACUCGCCUGCAUGAAGUUGGAAUCGCUAGUAAUCGCUGGUCAGCUAUAC